GACAGAGGGUGCAAACGUUGUUCGGAAUUACUGGGCGUAAAGCGUGUGUAGGCGGUCCGAUAAGUCGGGUGUGAAAGCCCUGGGCUCAACCCAGGAAGUGCACUCGAAACUGCCGGGCUAGAGUAUCGGAGAGGUUGGUGGAAUUCUCGGUGUAGAGGUGAAAUUCGUAGAUAUCGAGAGGAACACCGGUGGCGAAGGCGGCCAACUGGACGAAUACUGACGCUGAGACACGAAAGCCAGGGGAGCAAACGGG
rnacentral:rRNA from 1 species